GUAGCGUAAUCACCUGUCUCUUAAAUAGAGACCCGUAUGAAUGGCAAGACGAGGGUUUUACUGUCUCCUCCCCCCAGUCAAUGAAAUUGAUCUACCCGUGCAGAAGCGGGUAUAAAAACAUAAGACGAGAAGACCCUAUGGAGCUUUAGGCCAAGAUCAAAUAUGUAAAAAACCUAAUCUUUCUAAAGAAUUAAAAAUGUAAAAAACAAUUAUUUAUGACUCUUACACCUUCGGUUGGGGCGACCACGGGGAAAAACAAAACCCCCACAUGGACAUGGAGUUAAACUUAACUCCUAAGCCAAGAAAAACCAUUCUAAGCAACAAAAUUUUUGACCAAAAAUGAUCCGGGAUUUUACCGAGCAAUGAACCAAGUUACCCUAGGGAUAACAGCGCAAUCCUCUCCCAGAGCCCAUAUCUACGAGGGGGUUUACGACCUCGAUGUUGGAUCAGGACAUCCUAGCGGUGCAGCUG
rnacentral:rRNA from 1 species